UGCAAAAUUUUGCAUAUCAGAAUUUUUUGGUUGAGUCUAAGUUUUUGUUGAAGCUCCUGUUUUUUGGCUGAACUCAACGUUUUUUGGGAAUCUCACAUGAACAUCCGGGGCUUAAGGACGAGCAAUGGACCCUAAAAGCAACACUUCCUUCCCUACCUGACCUCCUCUGACUCAACACUUGCUGGUCUCUCCAUCCUCAUGUUCUGAUCGUCUCCAGCAGCUGGAGGAAUCAGUCAGACCUACAAGCCUGUCCUGCUUCAGCUGCACUCUGCUGGUCAUACUAGAAUGGGGAAUCAGGAGAACACCAAUUUAAUUUAAUAUCAUAACACAGCAAAAGGCAUAUUAUAUCUAAUUCGGAAUAAAACUAAGUACAAGACACACGCACACCAAAUAAUAAAAACACAGAAAUUAUGUGAAUAUCCUCCUUUGGCCUGUGACCAACCAGCUUAGUUUUACAUUUUACAUCUGGAAGAAAACAUAUAUUUAAGAGUUACAUUGUCUCCCCUCAUAGACAACACUGUGCUUGGUAAAUAAAUCAUCUGCAGUGGUGCAGAUUAACGUGGACAUAAUAACAUUGGAGCAACGAUCCGCUGUUUUCCCACUUUAGCUUCAAUGCUAGUUAAUACACACACACACACACACACACACACACACACACACACACACACACACACACACACACACACACACACGGAGGAUUACACAACAGUAUUUAACACAUUUCCUCCAGGUAUAUUUGGUAUUUUCCACGCUUAAUGCCGCUCAGCAGCGGUUCGCUGGUUAACGAAUUCAACAUGAAGACAGGCGAAUAUCACACAAGCCUAGUUUAUGAACUUUACCCAGUGCUAACAUUAGCUAGCACAAUAUGCUACCGCGGCAGACAAAAUAUGUGACUGUCGUCAUAAGUUGUGUAAGAUUUAUUCUUUGAAACAGGGCGGACACUUUAGUAGCUGCUAAACGGUGUAAUGUUGUAAAGAUGACUGACCUUCAUAUUCUGUGUCCCGCCACCGGAACCCUGCAGUUCGGGACACAGCUCUGAGAGCGCUAACCAAUCAGAACACGUCUUACAUCGCUCGUCCUUAAGCCCCGCCCCGGAUGUUCAUGUGAGAUCCGCAACCAAAACACGUGUUGCGUGGACUCUAAUGCAGCUUCCGCGUUCGGGGAAAAGCGGCUCGAUUGUUUCCGAUCCAAUAAAAUAUCAUUUUUACACUCGGUGCCUGCAGGACCUGGCCGACCCGAACAUCGAUCCGAAGCCCCAACAAGCUGGAGGAAGGAUUUAAGAUGUAGCCUCGUCAUACAUUCACUGACACCGAGCAGGUGGUGCUAGACUUCCAUCUGCAGCGUCAUGGUUGGUGCUGGCUGGUGACGUCACUGAUUCAGGACCGAUGGGUCAGGUGUUUCUGGAGGAUCAGGACCUUUCCGAUCUCAUCAACCCUCUGAUCCGAUGGAGCGGCUGCAGGAACACGCUGACCCUCCACAGGAUCCCAGAUCCAGGCCUCGAUGUCCUGCAGCAUGGAGAAACGUCCUGGUCCAACACACCUGGAUCGAAUGGCUGCUUGAGGUUCUGAUAGUGGCCUCAUGAUUCGACUCGGUGUGUUAAAGCAGAGACUAUAAACGUUGGACGACACCAACCCUGAACUCCUGAACCGGAGUCAAAGUCCUGCUGUUCAACCUUCACCCAGCUGAGUCACAUUUAGCUGCCUUCAGUGGAAACAUGACCUGUGGUGAGGCGGAUCAGGAGUAUUCAUACUCUAAAACCAUUUUGGUUUCCAUUUGUUCAAAGUAAAUUACCAACAUAUCAAUAGUUUGACCACUGAGAUACGGCAGAAAAAGGUUUGGUUUUAAUAGAGUCUAGGCUGAAACGAUUCCUCGAAUGAUUCGAGUUCCUCGAUUAUUAAAAUACUUCAAGGAAACUUUUCCUGCCUUUAUGUUGUAUCAUGUAGCGCACCGUGUUCUGGCCGGGA